rnacentral:lncRNA from 1 species
GGUGAGAGAGAAGCAUUUUCCAUAAAACAAUGUACUAGUGACAUAAGGCAAUUACAUGGUCACUGGGACACACCACACGGUAUACUGGAGAAAUCUCAUGAUACCUAUGUGAUAACUAUAAUAACUCUAGUUAUUGCUACCAUAUUAUCUACUGAUGGCUAUAUAAUUAGUUUGUGUCAUCAAAGCACCCUAAAUGUAUGCCUGCUCCAGCUACUCAGUAGGAAAAAAAAAAAAAAAAACUUUUUUGCAAGGGGGAAAAAAAAGCUAAUGAAGAAAGUUGCCAAGAACAGAUAUUUUGUAAUCUGUGCUAAAUCUCUGCUGGAAAACAUGAACAGUAACGAAGCUGAGAAGACAGUAAAAGAAAUUCGGGGCAAGGUGCCAGACGCCCAGACGGAAGGAGAAUGUGGACCAAAAGAUUGCGACAAUCGGUUCCUUGACCAUCAGUCUGUUGCCUGCCCCCUCUUUUUAUGUAAGUAAAACUGGUUUCUUUAUCUUUAAAAAAAAAAAAGUGGGCUUUAUUGGCAUAUUUUCUACUUUACUUUGUGUUUCUAGUGCUUCUUUGGUGUGCAUUUAAUUUUUUCGCUUUGUGUGUGUGUGUGUUUGGAGUCAAUAUUGUUGGUGGUAUGUGAGCUGCUGCCUACUGGUCUCCAAGGGGGUGUGUCUUCUGCUCACAGUGGGCAUGGGCAGAAGGAAAGGAAGCAGGGUUUCCCUGAAAAGGAACGCAUUUAAAAAUAAUGUUUAAGUGGCAAGUUGCCAUCUAUGAGGGAGCUGAAAAGAGCAGUGGCCCAGCCACUGAACUUCUGUAAAGACUGCCCUUUACUUUGCCACAGCUGCUAUUUGCUGAAAUCCCUGCUCUUCUAAACUGGGGCUUACAUUCUGCAGCCAGAUAUCAGCAACAAUUGGGCUUUUGCUCUGCUGUCAAUCAAUGGGCAAUUAUUUAUUCUUCAGUUAUUCACCCAUCCCUAGGUCCAACAGUUUUUAAUUUUAACUUCUAGAUCAGAGCUUUCAUUUAUUGACAAAAUUUAUAAUAUCCUUUUACUAAGAAGUACAAGACUGAAAAGUAAAUAGGCCAAAAUUUUGUGCAAAAUUAUAAAGUCUAGUAGAAAAAAAAAUAAAAAGAAAUCCAGGACUCA